GUGGGGAAUAUUGCGCAAUGGGCGAAAGCCUGACGCAGCGACGCCGCGUGGGGGAUGAAGGCCUUCGGGUUGUAAACCUCUUUCAGCAGGGACGAACUCAGACGGUACCUGCAGAAGAAGCACCGGCCAACUACGUGCCAGCAGCCGCGGUAAUACGUAGGGUGCAAGCGUUGUCCGGAAUUAUUGGGCGUAAAGAGCUCGUAGGCGGUCUGUCGCGUCGGCUGUGAAAACUUGGGGCUCAACCCCAAGCCUGCAGUCGAUACGGGCAGACUAGAGUGCGGUAGGGGAGACUGGAAUUCCUGGUGUAGCGGUGAAAUGCGCAGAUAUCAGGAGGAACACCGGUGGCGAAGGCGGGUCUCUGGGCCGUAACUGACGCUGAGGAGCGAAAGCGUGGGGAGCGAACAGGAUUAGAAACCCCAGUAGUCC
rnacentral:rRNA from 1 species